GAUGAACGCUGACAGAAUGCUUAACACAUGCAAGUCUACUUGAUUCUACUUCGGUAGUUGAUGGUGGCGGACGGGUGAGUAACGCGUAAAGAAUCUGCCCUUUAGUUUGGGAUAACCUUUGGAAACGAAGGCUAAUACCGGAUAUUAUGGAGACGUCGCAUGGCGACUCCAUGAAAGCUAUAUGCGCUAGAGGAGGACUUUGCGUCCCAUUAGUUAGUUGGUGAGGUAAUGGCUCACCAAGACCGCGAUGGGUAGCCGGCCUGAGAGGGUGAUCGGCCACAAGGGAACUGAGACACGGUCCUUACUCCUACGGGAGGCAGCAGUGGGGAAUAUUGGACAAUGGGCCACAAGCCUGAUCCAGCAAUUCUGUGUGCACGAUGAAGGUCUUCGAAUUGUAAAGUGCUUUCAGUAGGGAAGAAAAAAAUGACGGUACCUACAGAAGAAGCGACGGCUAAAUGUGUGCCAGCAGCCGCGGUAACAC
rnacentral:rRNA from 1 species